rnacentral:snRNA from 1 species
UUGCUUCAGCAGCACAUAUACCAAAACUGGAACUAUACAGAGAUUAGCAUGGCCCCUGCACAAGGAUGACUCACAAAUUCGUGAAGGGUUCCAUUAAAAA